rnacentral:rRNA from 1 species
GACGAACGCUGGCGGCGUGCCUAAUACAUGCAAGUUGAGCGAUGAAGAUUGGUGCUUGCACCAAUUUGAAGAGCAGCGCACGGGUGAGUAACGCGUGGGGAAUCUGCCUUUGAGCGGGGGACAACAUUUGGAAACGAAUGCUAAUACCGCAUAAUAACUUUAAACAUAAGUUUUAAGUUUGAAAGAUGCAAUUGCAUCACUCAAAGAUGAUCCCGCGUUGUAUUAGCUAGUUGGUGAGGUAAAGGCUCACCAAGGCGAUGAUACAUAGCCGACCUGAGAGGGUGAUCGGCCACAUUGGGACUGAGACACGGCCCAAACUCCUACGGGAGGCAGCAGUAGGGAAUCUUCGGCAAUGGACGAAAGUCUGACCGAGCAACGCCGCGGGAGUGAAGAAGGGUUUCGGAUCGUAAAACUCUGUUGGUAGAGAAGAACGUUGGUGAGAGUGGAAAGCUCAUCAAGUGACGGUAACUACCCAGAAAGGGACGGCUAACUACGUG